GACAUCAGGAGGUUAGUGCAAUGGCAUAAGCCAGCUUGACUGCGAGCGUGACGGCGCGAGCAGGUGCGAAAGCAGGUCAUAGUGAUCCGGUGGUUCUGAAUGGAAGGGCCAUCGCUCAACGGAUAAAAGGUACUCCGGGGAUAACAGGCUGAUACCGCCCAAGAGUUCAUAUCGACGGCGGUGUUUGGCACCUCGAUGUCGGCUCAUCACAUCCUGGGGCUGAAGUAGGUCCCAAGGGUAUGGCUGUUCGCCAUUUAAAGUGGUACGCGAGCUGGGUUUAGAACGUCGUGAGACAGUUCGGUCCCUAUCUGCCGUGGGCGCUGGAGAACUGAGGGGGGCUGCUCCUAGUACGAGAGGACCGGAGUGGACGCAUCACUGGUGUUCGGGUUGUCAUGCCAAUGGCACUGCCCGGUAGCUAAAUGCGGAAGAGAUAAGUGCUGAAAGCAUCUAAGCACGAAACUUGCCCCGAGAUGAGUUCUCC
rnacentral:rRNA from 1 species